ACGCUCGACACCUACGGGAGCAGCAGUGGGGAAUAUUGCACAAUGGGGGAAACCCUGAUGCAGCGACGCCGCGUGAAGGAAGAAGUAUCUCGGUAUGUAAACUUCUAUCAGCAGGGAAGAAAGUGACGGUACCUGACUAAGAAGCCCCGGCUAACUACGUGCCGACAGCCGCGGUAAUCUGAGCGGGCUGGCAAGGC
rnacentral:rRNA from 1 species